UACGUAGGGGGCUAGCGUUGUCCGGAAUCAUUGGGCGUAAGAGCGUGUAGGCGGCCCGGUAAGUCCGCUGUGAAAGUCGGGGGCUCAACCCUCGAAUGCCGGUGGAUACUGUCGGGCUAGAGUGCGGAAGAGGCGAGUGGAAUUCCUGGUGUAGCGGUGAAAUGCGCAGAUAUCAGGAGGAACACCGAUUGCGAAGGCAGCUCGCUGGGACGUUACUGACGCUGAGACGCGAAAGCGUGGGGAGCAAACAGG
rnacentral:rRNA from 1 species